rnacentral:rRNA from 1 species
AAUCAACGCUGGCGGCGUGCCUAACACAUGCAAGUCGAACGCGAAAGUCCCGCAAGGGAUUAGUAGAGUGGCAAACGGGUGAGUAACACGUGGGUGACCUGCCUUCGAGUGGGGGAUAACGUCCCGAAAGGGACGCUAAUACCGCAUAACAUCCUGCCUUUUAAGAGGUGGAGAUCAAAGCUGGGGACCGUAAGGCCUGGCGCUGGAAGAGGGGCCCGCGUCUGAUUAGCUAGUUGGUGAGGAACGGCUCACCAAGGCAACGAUCAGUAUCCGGCCUGAGAGGGCGGACGGACACACUGGGACUGAGACACGGCCCAGACUCCUACGGGAGGCAGCAGUGGGGAAUUGUUCGCAAUGGGCGCAAGCCUGACGACGCAACGCCGCGUGGAGGAUGAAGA